GUUAACGCCGUUACGCCCCAGUCUAGGGGUGCCUAGGACGCAACACGAAAAGGCCCCAUCUUCCCCGUCUCCCAAGUAGCCACAAACAAUUAGUAAAUCAGCUGUUU